UGAGGAAUAUUGGUCAAUGGGCGGAAGCCUGAACCAGCCAUCCCGCGUGCAGGAUGACAGCCCUAGAGGUUGUAAACUGCUUUUCUUCAGGAAGAAUAAGGACUACGAGUAGUUCGAUGACUGUACUGGAGGAAUAAGCAUCGGCUAACUCCGUGCCAGCAGCCGCGGUAAUACGGAGGGUGCAAGCGUUAUUCGGAAUUACUGGGCGUAAAGGGCGUGCAGGCGGGAGAGCAAGUCUGAUGUGAAAGCCCGGGGCUUAACCCCGGAAGGGCAUUGGAAACUGCUUUUCUUGAGUUCUGGAGAGGAAGGGAGAAUUCCCGGUGUAGAGGUGAAAUUCGUAGAGAUCGGGAGGAACAUCAGUGGCGAAGGCGCCCUUCUGGACAGCAACUGACGCUGAGACGCGAAAGCGUGGGGAGCAAACA
rnacentral:rRNA from 1 species